AGCUCGCCAACAUUGAGAAGAGAGCAACAAGAGUCCCCAGGCCACCUCCCCCUCGAUCAACCACUGCUUCAGGGGCUACAAAUACUGCAAGUGGAGUACAAACACCACGUCCACCAGGUGCACCUCCUCCUCCACCACCACCUCCUGGGAAAACUGGUGGCCCACCGCCACCGCCACCACCUCCAGGUGCUCUACCCAGGAGUGUUGCUGGGAGUGACAAGGUACAUCGUGCACCGGAGAUUGUUGAGUUCUAUCAAAGUCUCAUGAAGCGUGAAGCAAAGAAGGAGACAUCUCUAGGAUCAGUGUCAUCCAAUGUUUCUGACGCCAGGAGUAAUAUGAUUGGAGAGAUUGAGAACAGAUCAACAUUCCUCUUGGCUGUAAGUAUUUUCUGCUGGCGCCACGUUGCAUAAAAAUC
rnacentral:lncRNA from 1 species